GACGAACGUUGGCGGCGUGCUUAACACAUGCAAGUCGAACGGAAAGGCCCUGCUUUUGUGGGGUGCUCGAGUGGCGAACGGGUGAGUAACACGUGAGUAACCUGCCCUUGACUUUGGGAUAACUUCAGGAAACUGGGGCUAAUACCGGAUAGGAGCUCCUGCUGCAUGGUGGGGGUUGGAAAGUUUCGGCGGUUGGGGAUGGACUCGCGGCUUAUCAGCUUGUUGGUGGGGUAGUGGCUUACCAAGGCUUUGACGGGUAGCCGGCCUGAGAGGGUGACCGGCCACAUUGGGACUGAGAUACGGCCCAGACUCCUACGGGAGGCAGCAGUGGGGAAUAUUGCACAAUGGGCGGAAGCCUGGUGCAGCAACGCCGCGUGCGGGAUGACGGCCUUCGGGUUGUAAACCGCUUUCGCCUGUGACGAAGCGUGAGUGACGGUAAUGGGUAAAGAAGCACCGGCUAACUACGUG
rnacentral:rRNA from 1 species